CUCGUCUUCUCGGUUCACCCCGUUGAGUGGCAAGAAGGAAACCUUCUCAUAUUUCUUACAUGUGACGCAUCUGAGACACCAUCUGCUUGAACCCCGUGGCUGCCUAGUGGAGACUAUGGAAGCCUUUGGGAUAGUAAAUUCUGAGGGUUUGAAAACACACAGAGAGACAAAAGUCUGUCUUUCUCUUACUGGUUAGGAAGAAAGUCAAACCGUUCCUAGCAGAAUACGGAUGCAUAUUCUUGGGGACCAUUGAGAAGGCAUGGAUCAUGAUUGGCACCUAGAGGCAGCUCGAAUCCACCAGUUCACUCCCCAGAUGCCUGGGAGCCGGGUGCCCAGCCUGGGUCUCUCACAGAAGUGGGAGGAACCCAAGUGCUUGAGCCAUCACUGCUGCUUCCCAGGGUCUGCAUCAGGGAAAGCCGGGGUCAGGAACUGGAGCUGGGAACUGAACCUCGGUACUCCCAUGUGAGAUGGGGGGCGGAUUUUAAUCAGCUCUUUAGCCAUUGGGCUAAAUGUCCACCCCUCUGUUUUUGAUCACCUGUGUUCACUAUAGUAUGCCUCACAUCUAGAAGAACACCUGUGUAACUACUCUUGAACACAUGAAUAAGUGACCAGUGAUAGCCAUCAGAGCAAGGAUGAAUCUUGGUCCACAAAUCAAGCUGUGAAAGAGCUAUCAGUGUUUUUUUUUAAAUACUUAUUUAUUUGAAAGUCAGAGUUACACAGAGAAAGGAGAGAGAGAGAGAGAGAGAGAUCGAUCUUCUGAGAGAGAGAGAGAGAGAAGUAUUCUGUUCGCUGGUUCACUGCCCAAUUGGCUGCUUCUCCUCUGAGAUCUCGCCGGUUUCCUAGGGGUUGUGACUGACCCGGGUUGGUUGGAUUGCCCAAGAUCCUUUAGUUCCACUCCAACAGGCAUGGGCAGCGUCUGCCAGUACAGGUACAGACAAGGCAAGUCUCAGGUGAGCCCUGCCACUCACAUGCUUGCCUGCUAGCACACAGACGCACAGCAUGCACUUCCUCAGGCUGCAUGGAGACCAAGCUUUCUGCCCUCUUGGAAGCUGCCCCGGCAUCUUCCAUAGAAGCUUCUCUUUGGAUAAGCAGCAGACACUCUAUGCAGAAUCAGCCGAUGAGACCCUCCCAUUAGCUAACACACAGUCCUAACCUGGGGUGCAUUUCAAGAGCAUAGAGGACACUGGGCUUCCUAGGUUCUCAUGUCCCAUUCAUGCAAGAGCAGGAGUGUGGCACACAUUGCCUGGUCAAUCUAUGUGUCUUGAUUACUCUCUGAGACAUUGCUUCCACCAUCCACCAUAACUGUUCACAGAGCCUCUGACUGAAGGGCUGGUGUUUGAGUCCAUCACGAAAAUGUUUGCCAGUACCUGGUAGGUGGGGGAGGGGAGGGAAAGAUCCCAAUGGCUCUAUUUCAGACGGUCACCAACCACUUUCUAGGGCUUAAGCUAAAAACAGCACAUACCCUG
rnacentral:lncRNA from 1 species